rnacentral:rRNA from 1 species
AUUGAACGCUGGCGGCAUGCCUUACACAUGCAAGUCGAACGGCAGCGGGGGAGAAGCUUGCUUUUCCUGCCGGCGAGUGGCGAACGGGUGAGUAAUACAUCGGAACGUGCCCUGUAGUGGGGGAUAACUAGUCGAAAGAUUAGCUAAUACCGCAUACGACCUGAGGGUGAAAGUGGGGGACCGCAAGGCCUCAUGCUAUAGGAGCGGCCGAUGUCUGAUUAGCUAGUUGGUGGGGUAAAGGCCUACCAAGGCGACGAUCAGUAGCUGGUCUGAGAGGACGAUCAGCCACACUGGGACUGAGACACGGCCCAGACUCCUACGGGGGGAAGCAGUGGGGAAUUUUGGACAAUGGGCGAAAGCCUGAUCCAGCAAUGCCGCGUGUGUGAAGAAGGCCUUCGGGUUGUAAAGCACUUUUGUCCGGAAAGAAAUGGCUCUGGUUAAUACCUGGGGUCGAUGACGGUACCGGAAGAAUAAGGACCGGCUAACUACGUGCCAGCAGCCGCGGUAA